UGUAUAGAUACUUAAUCAUGAGGUUAUUUUUACUGUUCGUCCUCGCUCUCAUCUGUGUGGUCGGUGCUAAUGCAUUUACUGUACCUGAUAAAGAAAUCGUCGACCAACCUAUAAAGGCUAAAGAUGAACACAUAGAAGUCAACUAUAGAGUGAAACGGGACAGGCUUUUUUGCAAAACGCAUAAGGAGUGUAACAGUUUCUGCAGAGACGUCGUUGGACAUAGGAAGGGGACAUGCCAUCUCAUUUGCUUUUGUUAUUAACCAAAUAUAAUCGAUAUUCAACAAUAAAGGCAGAAAACGGAACGUUUGUAGUGACAACUGACAGCAAAUGUCAGCUUUGACAACUUUAUAAAUAUACCCGGCUUUUGCGGCUUUUUCCGAUAACCGCAAAAUAGACACUACGUUUUCACAAUUAGCAGUUUUUAAAAAGUAAAACCUGUGUUUUUCAUUGAGCCUGGCCUUUACAAUGAUACUCUUUUUACUACACUGUUGAUUGGAAUUUUCUGAAUAAAUGUAUACUUAAACUAAUUA